GCUUUUCAAGGCAAAGAGGUCAAUGAUGCAACUUCUCUUUGGCCUGGCUAUGUCUUCAGCACCUCUUUAUUGCUUGAAAUCUUUAAACAAAAACAAAUGUCAAGGUCAAUCCGGAGAGCAACAGAAGUGAUACAGAGGGAUAUAUAUAAUUGUACGGCUACCUUCCAUGUCUGCAAGGAGCUGGCACAGGUGCAGGAGCCACCUGCAAGGAAGAAAAAGGCAGUGAGGAGUGAAUGUUGUGUGCCUCCCAUCCACCUCAGGCAGCUCAAUGCUGGACAGAGCACUGGGUCCUAGUUCAGCACACCUUUGGCCUUGAGGGUGACCUGCAGCCGGGCAGUUUUCAGCCUCAGUCCUCUCGCCUCAGAAAUCGGAGGCACUAGGAAGAUGGCAAUGUUCUAAGUGGUGAUGAAGGCUCUUGGCGGGGAGAAAGCUCGAGAAGUGCAAAGCAAAGGAGUCCACUUUAGGAAGAGCUCAAAAUGCACCUGCCUCCUGCCCCAGGGAUGUUCUAUUCUGUGGUAUGAAAAUGAAGAUCCUAAGACCCGAAACCAGGCAUCCUUUACCAGUGGCGCAGGAGCAGCUGAGGUCCAUUCGGAGAUCAGGUGAGGCUGGAGUUCCUAAGCCACAGGCGAAAAAACAGGCGGGCCGGUAGGAGGCGGAACAGGAGCAGGCCG
rnacentral:lncRNA from 1 species